GAAAGCUUAUGAUGAAGAUGCCAAAUAUAUUUUAUUUAUUAACAAAUCAAUUACAAUACUUGGUUGCUCAACCGUCAACAGCUUGACGAUUGGCUUUUUGAGACAUAUUUCCCAACAACUCUCACUUAUCCUAAAGCCACUCGGCACAGUAUCUAAUAUGCAUCUUCGACUUGUGGUUGUGAAACUCCUUUAUUGCCAGGGCUUUAGUGAAGGGGUCGGCCAGGUUCUCCUUUCCAUCGAUUUUCUGAAGGUCGACGUCAUCUCGAUUCACGAUCUCUCGGACC
rnacentral:lncRNA from 1 species